rnacentral:rRNA from 1 species
GGAGGGGAGCAAGCGUUGUCCGGAUUUACUGGGCGUAAAGCGCGCGUAGGGCGGUCCAUUAAGUCGGGCUGUGAAAGCGCUGGGCUCAACCCAGCAAGGUCAGUCGAUACUGGUGGACUUGAGUCCGGGAGAGGGAAGUGGAAUUGCUGGUGUAGCGGUGGAAUGCGUAGAUAUCAGCAAGAACACCGGUGGCGAAGGCGGCUUCCUGGACCGGUACUGACGCUGAGGCGCGAAAGCUAGGGGAGCGAACGGGAUUAGAUACCCCGGUAGUCCUAGCUGUAAACGAUGGUCACUAGGUGUUGGGGGUAUCGACCCCUCCAGUGCCGUAGCUAACGCGUUAAGUGACCCGCCUGGGGAGUACGGCCGCAAGGCUG